rnacentral:rRNA from 1 species
AGUGAACGCUGGCGGUAGGCCUAACACAUGCAAGUCGAACGGCAGCACAGGAGAGCUUGCUCUCUGGGUGGCGAGUAGCGGACGGGUGAGGAAUACAUCGGAAUCUACUCUGUCGUGGGGGAUAACGUAGGGAAACUUACGCUAAUACCGCAUACGACCUACGGGUGAAAGCAAGGGACCUUCGGGCCUUGCGCGAUUGAAUGAGCCGAUAUCGGAUUAGCUAGUUGGCGGGGUAAAGGCCCACCAAGGCGACGAUCCGUAGCUGGUCUGAGAGGAUGAUCAGCCACACUGGAACUAAGACACGGUCCAGACUCCUACGGGAGGCAGCAGUGGGGAAUAUUGGACAAUGGGCGCAAGCCUGAUCCAGCCAUACCGCGUGGGUGAAGAAGGCCUUCGGGUUGUAAAGCCCUUUUGUUGGGAAAGAAAUCCAGCUGGCUAAUACCCGGUUGGGAUGACGGUACCCAAAGAAUAAGCACCGGCUAACUUCGUGCCAGCCGCCGCGGUAA